rnacentral:rRNA from 1 species
AUUGAACGCUGGCGGCAGGCCUAACACAUGCAAGUCGGACGGUAGCACAGAGGAGCUUGCUCCUCGGGUGACGAGUGGCGGACGGGUGAGUAAUGUCUGGGGAUCUGCCCGAUAGAGGGGGAUAACCACUGGAAACGGUGGCUAAUACCGCAUAACGUCGCAAGACCAAAGAGGGGGACCUUCGGGCCUCUCACUAUCGGAUGAACCCAGAUGGGAUUAGCUAGUAGGCGGGGUAAUGGCCCACCUAGGCGACGAUCCCUAGCUGGUCUGAGAGGAUGACCAGCCACACUGGAACUGAGACACGGUCCAGACUCCUACGGGAGGCAGCAGUGGGGAAUAUUGCACAAUGGGCGCAAGCCUGAUGCAGCCAUGCCGCGUGUAUGAAGAAGGCCUUCGGGUUGUAAAGUACUUUCAGCGGGGAGGAAGGCGAUAAGGUUAAUAACCUUGUCGAUUGACGUUACCCGCAGAAUAAGCACCGGCUAACUCUGUGCCAGCAGCCGCCGUAA